AGAUUGUAAUGUGGGCAUUUCCUAAACAAGUCUUUAAAUCUCUCCUAUGCCUCAAAUAAUGAUUUAGUGUCCAACUGUGCAUAAGUUGUUAUCUCUUAACACAACUU